GGGGAUAUGGUGUAGGGGUAUCACAUUCGCUUUGCAUAGAGCUUCGAGCUUCAAUGUGCGAAAGGUCUAGGGUUCGAAUCCCUAUGUCUCCA